AUUGAACGCUGGCGGCAUGCCUUACACAUGCAAGUCGAACGGUAACAGGUUAAGCUGACGAGUGGCGAACGGGUGAGUAAUGUAUCGGAACGUGCCCAGUCGUGGGGGAUAACUACUCGAAAGAGUGGCUAAUACCGCAUACGACCUGAGGGUGAAAGCGGGGGACCGUAAGGCCUCGCGCGAUUGGAGCGGCCGAGCUCAGAUUAGCUAGUUGGGGAGAUAAAGGCUCACCAAGGCGACGAUCAGUAGCGGGUCUGAGAGGAUGGAUCCGCCACACUGGGACUGAGACACGGCCCAGACUCCUACGGGAGGCAGCAGUGGGGAAUUUUGGACAAUGGGCGCAAGCCUGAUCCAGCCAUGCCGCGUGUCUGAAGAAGGCCUUCGGGUUGUAAAGGACUUUUGUCCGGGAGCAGAUGCUGGUGGCUAACAUCCACCGGAGCUGAGAGUACCGGAAGAAUAAGCACCGGCUAACUACGUGCCAGCAGCCGCGGUAAAAC
rnacentral:rRNA from 1 species